rnacentral:rRNA from 1 species
UACGGAGGGUGCAAGCGUUAAUCGGAAUUACUGGGCGUAAAGCGAGUGUAGGCGGCUGCAUAAGUCGGAUGUGAAAGCCCUGGGCUUAACCUGGGAACUGCAUUCGAUACUGUGCGGCUAGAGUCUGAUAGAGGGAAGUGGAAUUCCAGGUGUAGCGGUGAAAUGCGUAGAUAUCUGGAGGAACAUCAGUGGCGAAGGCGGCUUCCUGGAUCAAGACUGACGCUGAGGCUCGAAAGCGUGGGGAGCAAACAGG